CUUGACAUAUUAUAAGAGGUCCAGCCUGCCCAGUGACUCUGUUCAACGGCCGCGGUAUCCUAACCGUGCGAAGGUAGCGUAAUCACUUGUUCUUUAAAUGAGGACUAGUAUGAAUGGCACCACGAGGGUUAUACUGUCUCCUCUUUCUAAUCAGUGAAACUAAUCUCCCCGUGAAGAAGCGAGGAUAAAACUAUAAGACGAGAAGACCCUAUGGAGCUUUAAAUAAAGUAACACCUGCACCAAUUUAGCAUAAAUUUCAGAAAAUCUCAUUAGCUUGUGCAAGAUGCUUACAAGUUUUAGGUUGGGGUGACCGCGGAGUAAAAAAUAACCUCCACAUUGAAAGGAGCUAAUCCUUAGCUAAGAGCCACACCUCCAAGCACCAAUAAAAUGACAUCAAUUGACCCAAUAAUUUGAUCAACGAAC
rnacentral:rRNA from 1 species